AUGGCGGGGGUUCUGGAUGCUUUGGCAUCCUACGUGACUAGCAUGCUUGCCGAGAUGGCCAAAGAGGAGGUGGCCAUGCUAAUCGGCGUGUCCAAUGGGAUCAAAGACCUGAGCAUCAAGCUUGGGGACCUCAAGAGUUUCCUUGCUGAUGCUGAUAAGAGGAACAUCACCGAAGAGAGUGUGCGGGGAUGGGUGGGAGAACUGAAGCGUGCCAUGUACCUGGCCACCGACAUCGUCGACCUAUGUCAGCUCAAGGCCAUGGAGCAGGGUCCAUCCAAGGACAUGGGAUGCCUUAACCCACUCCUCUUCUGCAUGCGAAACCCCCUCCACUCCCAUGACAUCGGCACCCGCAUCAAGGCAUUGAACAAGGAGAUGGAUAGCAUCUGCAAGCGGGGCAAGAAAUUUAAAUUUGCCAACCUAGAAGCCUACCAAGACUUGAACAUGACUCGAUCUCUUGCCACUGACCGCAAAACAGAUUCAUUGAUGGAGCGGUCAGGUGUUGUUGGCGAGAAGAUUGAGGAGGACACAAGAGCACUCGUGGAGUUGCUCACAAGUGAGGCGGGCAGCGACAAGACUGGUUACCUCACCGUGGUCGCCAUUGUUGGUGUCGGAGGGAUUGGUAAGACUACCCUUGGCAAGAAGGUCUUCAAUGACGGGGCUAUCAAAGGCAAGUUCACCAAGAAGAUAUGGCUUAGCAUCACACAAGAUUUCACUGAUGUUGAGCUAUUAAGUACAGCCAUUACUGCCGCUGGGGGAGACCAACCUGGAGGGGGUGGGACUCAAGAUAGGGCCCUACUUGUUGAUGCUCUCAAGAACGCCAUCGAGGACAAGAAGUUCUUUCUUGUGCUCGAUGAUAUGUGGGGAGCUGAUGCAUGGAGCAAACUGCUCAUGACUCCCUUUGGCUAUGGUGGCCCGGGCAGCCGAGUCCUCAUCACCACAAGAAGUGAAACUGUUGCGAGAAACAUGAAAGCUGCACACUGCCACCACGUUGACAAGUUAGGGCGCGAAGAUGCAUGGUCACUGCUCAAGAAUCAGGUACUCAGUACAGAGGAGAAUGGACUUGAGGUUGAUGUGCUAAAGGAAAUUGGGUUGCAAAUUGUAGAAAAAUGUGAUGGUUUACCACUCGCUAUAAAAGUAAUGUGGGGGCUUCUAUGCAGCAAGGAGAAAUCACGGUUUGCAUGGGAAGAUGUCCUGAAUGAUGACAUAUGGUCAGUAUCUCCAAUGUCAGAUGAACUAAACUAUGCAAUUUAUCUUAGCUACAAGGACUUGCCCUCUUGCUUAAAACAAUGCUUCCUGCACUUCUCCCUUAAACCCAAAAAGUCUGUGCUAAAUGUUCGUAAAAUUGUGUCCAUGUGGAUUUGUGAAGGAUUGCUUCAAGGAGGCUCAACUAGUUUGGAAGAAGAAGGGAAAAGGAACUAUAAAGAGCUAAUAUUAAGGAACCUUAUAGAGAUAGAUCCAUCAUUUCCUAGCCAACUUAUUUGCAACAUGCAUGAUGUUAUUCGCUCAUUUGCUCAAUUUGUGGCUAGGGAUGAAACACUAGUAGGUCACAAUGGAGAUACUGCUAGAGAAAACCUUAAAUCAUCCAAUUUUCUUAGACUGUCUAUAGAAACCAAAGGUGUGGGAAUAGAUGAAUUUGAGUGGAGAUAUUUAAGAGAGCAGAAAUUGCUUAGGACACUGAUAUUAACUGGAAACCUCAAAAUUCAGCGUGGGGACUCGUUGAUUAACUUCCAAAGUCUACGUCUUCUGCAUAUAGAAUCUGCAAAUAUUGCUGCACUGGUUGAAUGUAUGUACCAACUCAAGCACUUGAGAUAUUUGUCAUUAAAGAGGACUGAUAUUUGUAGACUACCAGAGAACAUCCAUGAGAUGAAAUUCCUACAGCAUAUUGACCUUGAAUAUUGUGAAAGUUUCAUGAAAAUUCCUGAUAGUAUUAUCAAGCUGCAAGGGUUGAGAUAUCUUGAUAUGGAUGACACAUGUGUAAGUAGUAUUCCUAGGGGUUUCCGAGCUCUUACAAAUUUGAGGGUACUAUGUGGGUUUCCAGCCUAUACUGAUGGUGACUGGUGUAGUUUGGAAGAGUUGGGGUCUCUUUCCCAGCUCAAUGAACUUUCACUAGGGAGCCUAGAAAAUGUAUCUAGUGCCUUGUUGGCUGAAAAGGCAAGGGUAAAUGCAAAGAAAAAACUUACCGUACUUGCUUUAAAAUGUGGUGGUAGAGUGGGACAUGGGUUGGUCCAAGGAGAAGUCUCUGAGUCUAAGGAGGAGGAGCAAAUAAUUGAGGCGGUGUUUGAUGUGCUCUGUCCUCAGCCUUGCAUAGAACAAAUCAACAUCGAUAGAUAUUUUGGUCGCCGGCUCCCAGGCUGGAUGACGUCCACAGUUAUGGUGCCUCUCGAGAGCUUGAAGAUUCUUGUCCUCAAACACCUGCCCUGCUGCACCCAACUCCCAGAUGGCUUGUGCAGGCUCCCGUAUUUGGAGUGGAUAAAAGUGAUGAAUGCUCCAGUAAUCAAGUGUAUUGGUCCUGAAUUCGUUCAACAGUACAAUCAGCUGCACCGUCCUUCAUCUCAGUUGGCUGCUACGUUUCCCAAACUCCAGAAGUUGCAUUUUGAUGGAAUGGAUGAGUGGGAGGAGUGGGUUUGGGAGACGGAAGUGAAAGCUAUGCCCUUAUUGGAGGUACUUCGCAUCAGUGAUUGCAAAUUGGGCCGUAUGCCUCCAGGACUUAUGUCUCAUGCGAUGGCGUUGAAGAAGCUAAUACUAUGGGACGUCCAAGGUCUCCACUCUCUAGAGAACUUUGUUUCUGUAGUUGAGCUCGACCUGUGUUACAUACGCGAACUGGCCAUGAUCUCCAAUAUUCCAAAAUUACAAAAGCUUACAAUCAAGUACUGCCCAAAGCUGGAGAUGCUGCAGGAGAUGGCUGCACUCCGGAGACUCGAGCUGAGCAUUUUCGACAGGGAAAAUCAACUUCCAGUCUACCUGCAAACUGUGAAGCCUAGUCAUUUGCUGCUGACCUGCAACCUAGCAGUACUCACUUCCAUGGCUGAGGGUGAAUCUAGCUCCGAGUGGGACAAGUUCAGUCAUAUCAAGCACGUUGAGGCUUACGCAGAGGAUGGAGAAGAUGAGAAGAAAUGGCACGUGUUCUACACAUCUGAAUCCUGCAACAUAGAGACAAAUAUUCAUCAGGAUCGAUUGGUCGAAGAAGAGGAGUAG
rnacentral:rRNA from 1 species